rnacentral:sRNA from 1 species
GUCGGCUGAUCGGACACCCCACGGUCCUGGAUCCUGAACAGCCCCCCCAGCCCCCCUCGAUCGCGGGCCGGUCGGCCGACAGACCAAAUCAAGAGAACCCCUCUCUUAACUGCAGAGCCCGCGUGGAAACCCCUCCCACGCGGGCU